rnacentral:lncRNA from 1 species
AAAAUUUGUACUAGGAGCACAAGAUCAUCAGGAGGCAGAUAAGGAAGGAGAAUUGGUUCACCAACACCCUGAUGUGAAAAGUGACAAACCCAAACCUGGCACACCAAUGAAAUUUCAGAAUAGGUUAUGGGUUGUCAAGACUAUAAAAGCAAACAGAGCGCGCUCUUGAGAUUGAGAAUCCUUAGAAUUGGUGACAAGGAAAUUUUCGAGAUUUUAUUGGUGUCUUGAAGGAAGGAAGAACACCAACAUAGAAUUUCAACACCUACUGAUGGGUGUUUGGGCUUUACCGGGUCAAGCUAAUGACGUUAAAGAAGCGCUUGCUGGGAGGCAACCCAGUUUCUAACCCCGUCUCUGAAUUUUUUUUCUUUUAUUUUAUUUUAUUUUAUUUUAUUUUUUUAGGUUAAAUGUUGCUUCUGAUGCCAGUGAUGAUAGCAUCUACUGAUGGAUGCUUCUGUAACAUCUAUUGAUGGAUGUUAGGUGAUUCGGCAUCUACUGAUGGAAGCCGAUGAAGAUAAGGAAGAUUGGUGUCUACUGAUGGAUGCCAAUGAAGAUAAGAAAUAUUAGCAUCUACCGAUGGAUGCUAUAUGGUUAGACAUCUACUGAUGGAUGUCAAUGAUAACAUUUACUGAUGAAUGCUACUGGGAUAGCAUCUACUGAGGGAUGCUAGAAGAUAUAGGUAUCUACUGAAGGAUACCAGGAAAGUACACCUACUGAUGGGUGAUGGUAAGGUUUGCACCUACUGAUUGGUGCUAGAAAGGUUUGGGUCAGGCUCGUGACGUUAAACAAGCACUACCUGGGAGGCAACCCAGCUGAUUGAUUUUUUUUUGCAUGCUUUAAUUCUUGUUCUAGUCGCAUAUGUCAGUUAAGUGAUUGGGAAUUGCAUAAAAAUUAAAUUUUGAAAGUUGAAUUUGAAGGUUUAAAGGGUUAAAAUGUUUUAAAUAGAAAAAAAGGGGGUGUAAACUACACAACGCUGG